rnacentral:rRNA from 1 species
CUACGGGCGGCUGCAGCAACGAAUAUUCCCCAAUGGACGCAAGUCUGAGGGAGCGACGCCGCGUGCAGGAAGAAGUCCUUCGGGAUGUAAACUGCUGUCAGGGGUUAGGAACACUGACCGGCCCCAAAGGAAGCACUGGCUAACUCCGUGCCAGCAGCCGCGGUAACACGGAGAGUGCGAGCGUUGUUCGGAAUUACUGGGCUUAAAGCGCAUGUAGGCGGAGGAGCAAGUGUCGGGUGAAAUCCCCCGGCUCAACCGAGGAACUGCUCGGCAAACUGCUUCCCUUGAGGCGGGUAGAGGUGAGUGGAACGACUGGUGGAGCGGUGAAAUGCGUAGAUAUCAGUUGGAACGCCGGUGGCGAAAGCGACUCACUGGACCCGUCCUGACGCUGAGGUGCGAAAGCGUGGGUAGCGAACAGGAUUAGAUACCCCGGUAGUC